AGACCCGAAACCCGGUGAUCUAGCCAUGGGCAGGUUGAAGGUUGGGUAACACUAACUGGAGGACCGAACCGACUAAUGUUGAAAAAUUAGCGGAUGACCUGUGGCUGGGGGUGAAAGGCCAAUCAAACCGGGAGAUAGCUGGUUCUCCCCGAAAGCUAUUUAGGUAGCGCCUCGUGAAUUCAUCUCCGGGGGUAGAGCACUGUUUCGGCUAGGGGGCCAUCCCGGCUUACCAACCCGAUGCAAACUGCGAAUACCGGAGAAUGUUAUCACGGGAGACACACGGCGGGUGCUAACGUCCGUCGUGAAGAGGGAAACAACCCAGACCGCCAGCUAAGGUCCCAAAGUCAUGGUUAAGUGGGAAACGAUGUGGGAAGGCCCAGACAGCCAGGAUGUUGGCUUAGAAGCAGCCAUCAUUUAAAGAAAGCGUAAUAGCUCACUGGUCGAGUCGGCCUGCGCGGAAGAUGUAACGGGGCUAAACCAUGCACCGAAGCUGCGGCAGCGAACGUAUCACCCAAGACAACUUUACGGAGUUGACGAUUGACGGAGCGAAGCGACGUCAAAGCGUUCAUUAAAGUCGAGUUGGCUUAGGGAUACGUUCGUUGGGUAGGGGAGCGUUCUGUAAGCCUGUGAAGGUGGCCUGUGAGGGUUGCUGGAGGUAUCAGAAGUGCGAAUGCUGACAUAAGUAACGAUAAAGCGGGUGAAAAGCCCGCUCGCCGGAAGACCAAGGGUUCCUGUCCAACGUUAAUCGGGGCAGGGUGAGUCGACCCCUAAGGCGAGGCCGAAAGGCGUAGUCGAUGGGAAACGGGUUAAUAUUCCCGUACUUGGUGUUACUGCGAAGGGGGGACGGAGAAGGCUAUGUUGGCCGGGCGACGGUUGUCCCGGUUUAAGCGUGUAGGUGUGUGUUCCAGGUAAAUCCGGUUCACUUUAACACUGAGGCGUGAUGACGAGGCACUACGGUGCUGAAGCAACAAAUGCCCUGCUUCCAGGAAAAGCCUCUAAGCAUCAGGUAACAUCAAAUCGUACCCCAAACCGACACAGGUGGUCAGGUAGAGAAUACCAAGGCGCUUGAGAGAACUCGGGUGAAGGAACUAGGCAAAAUGGUGCCGUAACUUCGGGAGAAGGCACGCUGACACGUAGGUGAAGUGAUUUACUCACGGAGCUGAAGUCAGUCGAAGAUACCAGCUGGCUGCAACUGUUUAUUAAAAACACAGCACUGUGCAAACACGAAAGUGGACGUAUACGGUGUGACGCCUGCCCGGUGCCGGAAGGUUAAUUGAUGGGGUCAGCGCAAGCGAAGCUCCUGAUCGAAGCCCCGGUAAACGGCGGCCGUAACUAUAACGGUCCUAAGGUAGCGAAAUUCCUUGUCGGGUAAGUUCCGACCUGCACGAAUGGCGUAAUGAUGGCCAGGCUGUCUCCACCCGAGACUCAGUGAAAUUGAACUCGCUGUGAAGAUGCAGUGUACCCGCGGCAAGACGGAAAGACCCCGUGAACCUUUACUAUAGCUUGACACUGAACAUUGAGCCUUGAUGUGUAGGAUAGGUGGGAGGCUUUGAAGUGUGGACGCCAGUCUGCAUGGAGCCGACCUUGAAAUACCACCCUUUAAUGUUUGAUGUUCUAACGUGGACCCGUGAUCCGGGUUGCGGACAGUGUCUGGUGGGUAGUUUGACUGGGGCGGUCUCCUCCUAAAGAGUAACGGAGGAGCACGAAGGUUGGCUAAUCCUGGUCGGACAUCAGGAGGUUAGUGCAAUGGCAUAAGCCAGCUUGACUGCGAGCGUGACGGCGCGAGCAGGUGCGAAAGCAGGUCAUAGUGAUCCGGUGGUUCUGAAUGGAAGGGCCAUCGCUCAACGGAUAAAAGGUACUCCGGGGAUAACAGGCUGAUACCGCCCAAGAGUUCAUAUCGACGGCGGUGUUUGGCACCUCGAUGUCGGCUCAUCACAUCCUGGGGCUGAAGUAGGUCCCAAGGGUAUGGCUGUUCGCCAUUUAAAGUGGUACGCGAGCUGGGUUUAGAACGUCGUGAGACAGUUCGGUCCCUAUCUGCCGUGGGCGCUGGAGAACUGAGGGGGGCUGCUCCUAGUACGAGAGGACCGGAGUGGACGCAUCACUGGUGUUCGGGUUGUCAUGCCAAUGGCACUGCCCGGUAGCUAAAUGCGGAAGAGAUAAGUGCUGAAAGCAUCUAAGCACGAAACUUGCCCCGAGAUGAGUUCUCCCUGAGACUUAGAGUCUCCUGAAGGAACGUUGAAGACGACGACGUUGAUAGGCCGGGUGUGUAAGCGCAGCGAUGCGUUGAGCUAACCGGUACUAAUGAACCGUGAGGCUUAACCUU
rnacentral:rRNA from 1 species